rnacentral:tRNA from 1 species
GUGUUUUUAGUAUAUGUCAAGUACACCUACCUUCCAAGUAGGAAGAUUAGCUCUAAAAAACACA